CGGCAGGAAGCGGAGCCGUGGCCGGGGCCCGACGCCGUCUCCAUGGCGACCGGCGGCGCUCCGGAGCUGCGAGACUGCCGCCGGCCUCUGAAAUGUUUCCCUCCCUAUGCAAAAAUAGCUGUUAAAAAAUAUUGAAGGGAAGAAAAGCUCUAGACAACUUCUAUUUGUCCUAACAUUCACUUGCAAUCAGCAAUGGUAUCAAGAAGGUCAAGACUUCAGGAUUGUUCUACACAUCAAACAAAAUCAGUUCAGAGCUGUGGUGGAGUAUCAGACAUAUAGACAGCUACAAAUCAAGCAGUACAGGCAAUUUCUGUCUUAUAUCACCAUGCAAGAGAAACGGAGCUGAAAGUGUUCCCACAGGUCAACUAAGCUGCUGGAGGAGUGCUCUGAAAAGCUCAAUCUGAACAUGGCUGCACAAUGAGUGUUCUUGGCAGACGGCACUGAAGCACUAGAACCUAAAGACAUACCCCAUGAUGCCGACGUUUAUAUUUCAACUGGAGAGACCUUUUUAUAUCCAUUCAAAAAAAUAAAAGGAAUUUUGCACUAGUGCUGCACAGUCCAAUAGCAACAAGAGAGAGAGAUCUCAAUCCAGCCUGCAUACUGGAGAUUACGAGCACUCUCCUGGGAAUUGUGAAAUAUGGAACUGAGUCUGUCAGAUUGAGAAGAUUAUAGAAUCUGACCUCCCUCUGCCCAGGAAAUACAAACACUUGGCCACUUCUAUAAAUGAGACUUUACUACCAUUCUUCAGACCAUCUGUCAUUAAUGAAGAAGUAUCUUGAACAGUGAAUGGCCUGGUUCUUCAUAAUGGUGUCAAGCAAAAGAAAACCAAGCCUGUCAUUUCCAACUGCAUGUAGAAAAUUAUUGAGGACACCUCUGGCAGAAUUUUAGUGUUUAAGAACUGCACAGGGCAGGAUAACUGUGAGCCUAUUGGAUCACAAAAUCAAAUUGAAAAGGACUUCUGCAGCUCCCUGGACAGCACAAAGGUUUUGUUCCAUCAUUCAGUGAACCACAUAGAGAAGAUGACAUACACCAAAAAUAAACCAGUUAAAAUCAUCAAUUUUAGUCUGGAAUAGUUUCUGGAAUCUGAUUCACUGCACACUCACCUAAAUACUUUUGCCAGCACAAGAAAAAAUGUUGCAUGGGAGUGGAAAGAAACAAUUCCAUGAACAAUGAAUUUCUUCUGGUCAAAGUAUUGCCAUUUCUGUCACCAAAAAGUAACUUGUGUGCUAUCUAUCUUAGACUUUCUUCGAAAGAAUGACAGAUUUCAGGUGAUUGCACACUGAGGAUGAAUCUUACUUCUCCAGUGAAAUGCUAAUACAAUGUAUGUGGAGAAAAAAUUGGCAAUAUCAUCACUGCAUUUUCAGUUCAUGGUACUGACGACAUCAGUGGCACAUUGGAUAAUAAGCUCCUCUGCUUGACAGAUGCCUGCAAAAUUCCAUCACACCUUUGUGGGGACCUGUUUGGGUCUUUAAGAGAGAAGGUUUCAGCCUCUCAGGAGCAAAGAUUUGUAUCCAAGGAGUUCUGUUGGCCCUGCACCAACGAUUAAAGUCUGCAGACUGUUGCAAACAGGUAUAUGAAGAUGACAAAGGCACAUGGGAAGUACUUUAUUAAUGAAAAAUAAAAGGGAAAUUACUCUGAGAAUCAAUCCAGAGCUAUUAUGAAAAGAGUCAAUUUUCUGCUUUUAUUCAUUGCAUGGCUGCCAAAUGCUUUCUUCUGGCACAGAAGCAGCGAUGGCAUGGGGUCGGGCAGAAAAGGUGAAAAGUGAGAGAGAGAAACCAGAAUCACUUGUCUUGGCUUACCCUGAGUUUGUCCUGACCUACCUAGAGGAACUAAAUGAAAGAGAGGAGGUGACCCAGACAGAAAACCGCAUUCACCAUGGGGCCUGGUCUGCAGCUCAUCAGGAGAUAGACAGCAGCUCAGCAGAAGAGGUCACAGUAUUAAGCCAGAGGCAGGUUCUGCAAAAAAAUGUCAGCAACCCCAAUCAGAAACAACUUUCAGGACCUUUGGACGCCCAUUUAAUGCCUGCAGAUCCCCUAGGGGAGACUACACAGCUGACAGUGGCACUGGUGAGGAAACUAGAAGAGAAACAUCCUAAGGCCUCAGCUCAAAGAUGGCCGUGAGGGGAGAAGCAUGAAGGGACAACGACAUCUGGCCAGUGGAUACAUACCAAAGCAGAGGAUCCCUUGUGGAACAAGUUAACUUGGCAAUCACAGUAGCGUUAAGGAGGUAGAAGCAAGUGUUUGAGAAUGGACAGAAAUGUUGCCACACCAUGUCUUACCAGAAAUCUUCUGGCAGCUAGUUGUGGAAGUACAAGGCAAGUACAGCUGGAGCCAGGCCUUCCAUGGACGGAGGUUCUACUUUGGAAGUAGAAAAAAUUAAAUAAGGAGCUGGAGGAGGAAACAGAAGAAUCAUUAUUUGUUCCUCUGUAUUGCAGAUUCUAAACUGUUUCCACAACAGUCACCUCAGGCCAUUUGUUUCAUUAUAGCAUCAAGGUAAGAGCCAAGGAUUUUUAAGUAACAGUGAGAGCACUAAAUGCACUGUUUUUUCUCAGCAGCCCGGUGGUUUGCAACCCCAACAGUUAAUCUCUAACAAUUAGAGAAAUCACCCUUCGCUCAGUGGCAUAAUUCCCAUAAAUCCUUAACCAACUCCAUUAUUGAAAAAUAAAAGUAUUAUGCUUGUUUCAACUUUUUACCAUGUAAGUUCAUUGAAAUUCAUUAAGCUACUCUAGUGUGAAACAGGAGUAGCCCAGCUUUUUCGAAAAACAAUUGAAUUCUUGUAACAGCAGAAGUACGCAGAGGGCAAUGAGAAUCGGUUGAACAAACAGCAGCUGUAGGAAGUAGCUGCACUUACUGCAUGGAGCAACAGAUGGCGGUAUUUUCUUAUCUGUUAGGAGAGUUAAAUACGGGCUCUCAUUCCACGACUAUUCUAAAUCAUAUAUUGACAGUUACUGAAAUCCACCACAAAAAUAGUUUUUCAGAAACUCGGUGCAUGUGUCACUUAUGGAUAAAUGUUAAUUUUAGAAGCAGAUUACACUGUAAGAAACUCCUUUUUUACAUAUCCAGAAUUUAAAUAUAAAAACAUCCUAGAGCCCUUCCCUGCUAAGGUCACUCUCUGAGAUUAAUUACUGCGUGGCCUUGGAGCCCAGAAGAUGAUAUGAUGGGAAGGAGUAGCAGGAAAAAGGCACUCCUCAACCAACAUUGUUAAUACAAGGGAUUUUACCUGCUUAGAAAAGAUGCAGCACGCAGGUCCGCAAAAGGUGAAGAGGCUAAUUUUGCUCCUUGCUGAAAAAGACUCCAUAAAUUUCCUGUGCAGCAACUGCACAUGUACUUGGCCUUUGCAUGUGAACGCGAGGAGGUAGCUCUUAGCAAAAUGAAAGACCUCGCACUGACUGCCAAGCCCUUGGAGUGCCCGUAGAAACACAUGGCGAGCUACGAGACCGUGACUUCGGUGUAUAUGCACUGGUUGGUGCCCAUGUGAAUUGCCAUAAUUUCUGCUGGCUUGUCCAUAAAGCAGACCAACUGGGAGAUCAAUCUUUUAGCCAGUUUUUAUCUAGUAUUUAAAAUAAAUAAAAAGUGAGCGUCUCCUGUCUCUAACAGAGAGAGGAUAGUAAAUCAUACGCGGGACUAUUACUGCUCCACAGCCAACUUCCUACCACAUCAGAAACUACACUGGGUUCUAGUUCCUAGAAAGGAGUAUUCAUGCAUUAACAUACUACUACUGGAGGGGAAAAAAAAAAAAAUACACACACACACACACACACACACAUAUAAAAAUUAAUCCUUAGAUGAAAUCCUGAGUGUACUAUAGAGAAUGAAAAACCUGCCAUUCACUGUAGAAUACGUAUUUCACCACUUUGCAUAAGAUACAGUUAUAUCUUUUCUUUUUUCUUUUUCUUUUUUUUUUUUUUAAACAAUUCACAUACAAAGUCAAACCAUAAAGCAGAUUCUUCCUUUUUAAAAUACAAACACUCCUGGCAAGAAAGUAUUGGUGAAUUUGAUGAUAGGGUGGAUCCCCAAAAGACAAGAAUGAAGAAUCAUUUGAAGAUGAUGAACUGCCAAAAAUCACAACACAAUGACAGCUUUAUACUUUCUUUGGAAUAUUUUCCCAUCCAGUUCCUCUUCCUCUGCUUUUUCUGUUUUUCUUUUAAAACCCAACCUUCCUAUUCUUCUUUGUCCACAAGUAUGCAUUAUACUUACUUUUCUAAUUUAGUUCUCAUAAGGAAGUUAGAAACCUGGGGCAUAAAAAGUAGAGACUCUGAAGACUAAUGUUUGUAUAUAACACUCAGUCUUUUAAGUUCACAGAGCAUUUUAUCAGCCUGAAAUUCAGCUGUUUAUUCAGACCUCAACCAAGGCUCUCUACAGGAUUUAAGGAAGUGCAACCCAGCAAUUUGAGUUCAGAGACCAGCACAUUAGAAGCCAUGCCUUCUCAGGCCCUGGUUUUGGGAGUGCGGGAUUCUGACCUGGAUGUUAGGACUGAGGUUACAUUAGUGGAAAAGUCACCAGACGGCAGCAGUCACUCCGGCUGUGGAAAGAGAAUGACAAUUGAAAGCGUUAUGUUGGCUCAUGUUUUAAAGGCUCGGUGUUAUGAAUGCAAACUCUCUAUAUUAUUUCUUAGAAAAUAAAUGCAACUUUAUAGAUGGUUGUCCAACUGUCCUUUAUUGUGUUUGAGAAAGAAUUGGGUUUAGUGCUUGAAUAGGGCCUCAAUAUUAUUCUGUCAUUUCCUUACUUUAUUAGCCACUAUUUCCUGCAAAGAAUCUCGCAAAUGAAUUUGAAGAAAGCUAAUGUGCUGGUCUAAUGAUGGAUUGCUUUCAGGACUGAUCAAGGUACUUUCUUCCCAUCCAGUGAAUGAAUCAUGGUCAUUCAACAGUGGACUGUUGGACAGAUAUGUGAAGUGCUCUUUGCUUUAAAGCUUUCCCAACAUGAGGAAUAAUCUUAGGACCACAAUGUCAUCAAAUAAAAAUACUAUACUGUUAUAGAGGCUCAGAUUAGUACUAAUAUAAUAAAUCCAGGCACUGUGUCCUUCAAAAACAGAGAGAAAAAAAAAAUGUAUGCACCAUUUGCCUUUAAUCACAGAGACAUACUGAACAUGCUCAAAAUGCCAAUAGUUUUAUAGAUUGCUGUGCAGUUUACUACUCUUUUCUCUACUUUUUUCCCUUAAGAGAUGAAAUCUACAGCAGCAGCAUGACAGGAGAUACAUUAAAUCAGUCAGUGGACCCAUGAAGAGAGAAAGUCCAUCUUUCGGCAGUAAUAACAGAAAUUCAAAUUUUUCUCAGGUUAAUAUGGGAAACAAUGCCACCUUCUCAAGCUAUUGAUGAUACUCCAAAGUAUUCAUUGCUCAGAGUCCGGGUGGGCAUCAGUCUGCUGGUAGGAGGUGACUGAUUUCUUCACUUUGGAAGCUGAAAAUAUGCUGCACCUUCUACAAGAAGAUCUGUCUUCUUUGUGGAUUGAAACCUUCUCACAAACUGUCUCAGAACAGACCUCUGCAGCUAUGAACCAGAAAACAGUAAAUAUAAUUGCAUAUAGAAAUGGAGUUGGCUGCCAAAACAGGCAAUUCAUAUUGACCGAGGCAUUCCCUUUGGUAGGUAACAAUCCCCAAAGUCAACUGUAACGACCAGUCACUGCUGCUACCUACUCACUCCUUGUCUAUUUUUCCGCAUUCUUACACGUGCUCUUUAAAACUUCAUCAACUUAAACUUAGAUCCUUGCAUUAUUGCUAAUAAGCCCACUAAGGAGAAAUAUGCAAUCAGUAUUAAAGGGCUUAACAGCUCAUCCCUCUCGGGAUGUAAAGGCGGCCAAGCUAUGGAACAUUCCAGACAGUUCAGAGAGCUGACCUGAAGGAACCGUGCCUGUGGAGGACUUACCUACUAUCGAGGGUGUGGUGACUUGGCUUGGUCAGGAACGGAGGCCACAGAUUCAUUCUGUAAACACUAGUAAUUUUAUGGGAUUUUCCUGGAACAGACCCAGUUAUUGCAAAGGUGACUCUCAGUAACUUUAAGCUGUUUCUUGGUGGCUGCGUGUCUCUCAUCCAUAAAGUCCAUCUCCUGAUUCCUUGUCAUAAUCACUGAUUUCAUGGAUUUAAAGAUAAUCUCUUAAGUGGGAACUCUCUGUAAACCAACUCAGGGAUGUCCAUCUGAAUAUUAAGCAACUUCUGAGAAGUAUGAAUUGUCCCAUACUUUCCAACAGAAUAUUUGAAUGCUAGAGAAUCCGUAUGUCAGCUAAGGCAGGGCUAAUCACUGUAACAACCAUGGCAAGCACGCGUGCUUCUCCCUGUUCAUUAAAUAUGGAGACAGAUAUUGAGCAGAGUAGGAGAAGCAUUAGAACAUCUAGUUCUGAAUGUCUACAAGGUAACAAAACCACAGAAAUUAUCUUCUUUUCAAUGAUAGCCCAUGAUAGUGUUGUGGGCUGUGAAUGGGCAACAGAAACAUUCGGGAGAGGAGUGUGAAGGAAACGCUAAAAUCCACAAUGCUGCUGAAGGAAGGGCUGUAAUGGACAUUGCAGGUAAAAAGACAAUCUUAAAGUCUCAGUUAACUCUUUUUUUUUUGUGAAAUUGCAUAUAGGUGGUUUUUCAUACAGCUACAGUAUUUUGUUACAGAGCUAAAAGAAGACCCUUUCCGAAUAAACGCUUAGAACUAUCUUUAGAAAUCCUUUACCUUGAUUUUCACUUUCUUACAGAAAAAUUAACGCUAUUAGAAAAAAUAUUAACAUUGAAUAAACAUGCUGUUUGUUUUUGUAUUUUAAUAGGCUCUUUUUAGUUUAAUCUUAACUUAAAAAAUAGCACUUUUGGACUAAGAAUGGAUUGCACUACAUAUAAGUAUUACUUCAAAAUGUUUGUGAAAAGUUAAAGGGAAUACACCUAUAAGGCCAGAAUUCUACACCAUCCAGAGCAAUGAUGUGCCUAAUUUGAGAGCGUAAUUCAUGUAAUUGUAUGUACAAAUUAUGCUAGUUGCUGCCUAACUGACCAUUACUUUUAAAAAUUUUUAAUCUAUGUACACAACUGCAGUCAUUGCGCAGGUUAAUUAAAUGCUAUUGAAAAUCAGACUUGGUGUAAAGGUUAUGUUAAAUAAAUAUCAGAAUACUUAAAAAUUAUUAAUUGAUCAGUAUUGCAUGCAAGAUGAUAUACAUUUCAGAGUAAGAUUCUGAAGUAUUUUUAUGACAUUACUGUUAAUUUUUAUUGCUUACUUGAUACAUCUGUGAGUAUGUAAAGAUUGAUUGUUCUUAAUACCUUUAAAAUAAUUAGAAGAAAAGAAAGGUUAUUGGGAUCGUGAAUCCAUUUUAUAUACUAGUCAAUCAAGAGAGUAAGAAAGGAGAAAUAAAGAUUUGAGAUUAGCUCAAAGAUAAAACACAUUAAAAAUGUAAAGGAAUUAUGUGUUAAAUUUACAAUUAUAUUUUUAUAGCAUUAAUUAUUAGAUGGAUGUCGGUCAUGUAAAUUCAGGUCAGAUCAGAAUUACAACCAUCCCAAAAUAUCAUUGAGUUUAUUGAAGGUUUUAAAGUUGAAGUCAUGCAAUCGAUGCCAGGAAUUAGAUACCACAAACAGGUGGCUCAGAAGUCAGCAACUUGCUCCCUGCUUCACACAAUACCAAUUAAUUCAUUAAUUACACUUAAGGCAACAUGGACAGGCAGUAUUGGAGAGGAGAGACCAGAAAUGAAGUUUCUCCAUCUUUGCUAAAUACAUAACUACUAUGCACAAGAAGAAUAGUCCUUUUUGAAUUUUGUCUGUUUGUCCUUAUUAGUUUUAAAUGUGUAAUGACCUGUUUUCACAGAGGGUGAUGAGAUUUCUGACCAACUGUGCUCUAGUUUGUAUUAUAAGAGGUUCCUGAGAGUAGGACAACCAGAAUCAGGCCCACUGACUCCUUCAACUACUCUUCUAACAGCUAAGCUACACGUAAUAAUAGAUAUUUUUGAUAUUUUUUUCCCUUUUCCUCAUUUCUUCUUCCAGUUCAUAACCAAUAUUCAUUCCUCCUAUGUCCAUCUUUAGGCAGCCUUUACCUUGCUGCAGCUGUAUUCUUACCCUCAGAUAAUCAACACCGUUUACCCCUCUUGUAAAAAUGAUAAAGUUCAAUGAAAAGUUAUAAUAAAGGAAUGAUUGCAUGGUAGUUAUCACUCUGUAGAUACAACUAGUAACAGUAGGGAUUCCCGACACACCAUCCUUUCCUCAAAAACUGCCAGUGUCACUUCUUUUUUAUGCUUUUGCUAGCAAAACUGAAUCAGUGGGCUAAGAAUGCAUACACUUCAGCUAACUUGAAUGAGCAGCAUAAACGCUAGCAUGCUGCUUGGAGAAUUAAUAGAUGGGAAAGAAGAUAAAACAGAUAAAUCUUUUUUGCAAAGCUAUGAUAAGGAAAGAAUUGUGAUUUACUGUAUCAAAAAUAAAUUCAAAAAAAUUUAGAAAGGGAAAGCCAAAAAAAUGAGGAAAAGAAUCACUUUAAAAACUGGGGGGAAAAAUCUCUCUUUUUAAUUUUAGAGUGUUGAAAAGUUUGCCUGGCGUUAAUGUGCUAUAUAAAAUGAAUGUAAACCCUACUCGGUACUACUUCAAACAAAAAUGGCAGUGCAAUUUUCAAAUUGUGAAUUUAACAUCUUGCGUGCUUUGAGUGGUUUUAAGUGUUAUUCUGUGUAUUAACAGGGGACAGAUCCUCUAGAUGAUAAAAGCACAUGUGCAGUGUGUUAUUCCCCCCUUUUGGGAGCAGGAAAAAUUUUUUUGCUUGUGUUUCAAAUGCAAAUUUUCUCACUUCCUAAAGGAACUUUUGAGACUCCUUAAUAUUGCAUAUUAUUAAAUUUUGAAUGCUAGGUAAUUUUAAAAUGAAUUGCUUAACUAGACAGAAAUUCCUGUA